GAUGAACGCUGGCGGCGUGCCUAAUACAUGCAAGUCGAGCGAACAGACGAGGAGCUUGCUCCUCUGACGUUAGCGGCGGACGGGUGAGUAACACGUGGAUAACCUACCUAUAAGACUGGGAUAACUUCGGGAAACCGGAGCUAAUACCGUAUAAUAUAUUGAACCGCAUGGUUCAAUAGUGAAAGACGGUUUUGCUGUCACUUAUAGAUGGAUCGGCGCUGCAUUAGCUAGUUGGUAAGGUAACGGCUUACCAAGGCAACGAUGCGUAGCCGACCUGAGAGGGUGAUCGGCCACACUGGAACUGAGACACGGUACAGACGCCUACGGGAGGCAGCAGUAGGGACUCUUGCGCAAUGGGCGAAGGCCUGACGGAGCAACGCCGCGUGAGUGAUGAAGGUCUUCGGAUCGUAAAACUCUGUUAUUAGGGAAGAACAAAUGUGUAAGUAACUAUGCACGUCUUGACGGUACCUAAUCAGAAAGCCACGGCUAACUACGUG
rnacentral:rRNA from 1 species